rnacentral:rRNA from 1 species
GGGUAACCUGCCCAUCAGAAGGGGAUAACACUUGGAAACAGGUGCUAAUACCGUAUAACACUAUUUUCCGCAUGGAAGAAAGUUGAAAGGCGCUUUUGCGUCACUGAUGGAUGGACCCGCGGUGCAUUAGCUAGUUGGUGAGGUAACGGCUCACCAAGGCAACGAUGCAUAGCCGACCUGAGAGGGUGAUCGGCCACACUGGGACUGAGACACGGCCCAGACUCCUACGGGAGGCAGCAGUAGGGAAUCUUCGGCAAUGGACGAAAGUCUGACCGAGCAACGCCGCGUGAGUGAAGAAGGUUUUCGGAUCGUAAAACUCUGUUGUUAGAGAAGAACAAGGAUGAGAGUAAAACGUUCAUCCCUUGACGGUAUCUAACCAGAAAGCCACGGCUAACUACGUGCCAGCAGCCGCGGUAAUACGUAGGUGGCAAGCGUUGUCCGGAUUUAUUGGGCGUAAAGCGAGCGCAGGCGGUUUCUUAAGUCUGACGUGAAAGCCCCCGGCUCAACCGGGGAGGGUCAUUGGAAACUGGGAGACUUGAGUGCAGAAGAGGAGAGUGGAAUUCCAUGU